rnacentral:sRNA from 1 species
AUAGCGAAGGUGAGAUGGAUCCAUAUAGUCCCGCACCUUCGCUCUCGGUUUUGG